UCCAGGGUAGCCUAGUGGACAUGGCAUCUGCCCAGUAAGGAGGAAAUAUCUUUAUUUACGGGGCUGCUAACCAAAAUGAAUUAUUUUUGAGCCCCAAUGGACACAUAAAGCGGAAUAUAGAUAAAUCACAGUUGGAGGGGCCUGGGUAUGGGUAGCCAGGGGAUCAUCGCCAGGUGAGGCCAGGAGAGCCGGGAUAUAUCAGUGGGACAGGAUCCGCGGAGAUCAGGGGGAGACGGGUCCAAUAGUGUUGAGAUCUGCCCAGUAAGCAGAACACUGUGGGUUCGAUUCCCAUCCCUGGAC